rnacentral:rRNA from 1 species
AGCGGCGGACGGGUGAGUAAUGCCUAGGAAUCUGCCUGGUAGUGGGGGAUAACGUUCGGAAACGGACGCUAAUACCGCAUACGUCCUACGGGAGAAAGCAGGGGACCUUCGGGCCUUGCGCUAUCAGAUGAGCCUAGGUCGGAUUAGCUAGUUGGUGAGGUAAUGGCUCACCAAGGCGACGAUCCGUAACUGGUCUGAGAGGAUGAUCAGUCACACUGGAACUGAGACACGGUCCAGACUCCUACGGGAGGCAGCAGUGGGGAAUAUUGGACAAUGGGCGAAAGCCUGAUCCAGCCAUGCCGCGUGUGUGAAGAAGGUCUUCGGAUUGUAAAGCACUUUAAGUUGGGAGGAAGGGUUGUAGAUUAAUACUCUGCAAUUUUGACGUUACCGACAGAAUAAGCACCGGCUAACUCUGUGCCAGCAGCCGCGGUAAUACAGAGGGUGCAAGCGUUAAUCGGAAUUACUGGGCGUAAAGCGCGCGUAGGUGGUUUGUUAAGUUGGAUGUGAAAUCCCCGGGCUCAACCUGGGAACUGCAUUCAAAACUGACUGACUAGAGUAUGGUAGAGGGUGGUGGAAUUUCCUGUGUAGCGGUGAAAUGCGUAGAUAUAGGAAGGAACACCAGUGGCGAAGGCGACCACCUGGACUAAUACUGACACUGAGGUGCGAAAGCGUGGGGAGCAACCAGGAUUAGAUACCCUGGUAGUCCACGCCGUAAACGAUGUCAACUAGCCGUUGGAAGCCUUGAGCUUUUAGUGGCGCAGCUAACGCAUUAAGUUGACCGCCUGGGGAGUACGGCCGCAAGGUUAAAACUCAAAUGAAUUGACGGGGGCCCGCACAAGCGGUGGAGCAUGUGGUUUAAUUCGAAGCAACGCGAAGAACCUUACCAGGCCUUGACAUCCAAUGAACUUUCUAGAGAUAGAUUGGUGCCUUCGGGAACAUUGAGACAGGUGCUGCAUGGCUGUCGUCAGCUCGUGUCGUGAGAUGUUGGGUUAAGUCCCGUAACGAGCGCAACCCUUGUCGUWAGUUACCAGCACGUUAUGGUGGGCACUCUAAGGAGACUGCCGGUGACAAACCGGAGGAAGGUGGGGAUGACGUCAAGUCAUCAUGGCCCUUACGGCCUGGGCUACACACGUGCUACAAUGGUCGGUACAGAGGGUUGCCAAGCCGCGAGGUGGAGCUAAUCCCAUAAAACCGAUCGUAGUCCGGAUCGCAGUCUGCAACUCGACUGCGUGAAGUCGGAAUCGCUAGUAAUCGCGAAUCAGAAUGUCGCGGUGAAUACGUUCCCGGGCCUUGUACACACCGCCCGUCACACCAUGGGAGUGGGUUGCACCAGAAGUAGCUAGUCUAACCUUCGGGAGGACG